rnacentral:lncRNA from 1 species
UUUGCCAUUGAUCAUUUUCGAAGAACGUACGGUGACCUGCAUUCUUUCUUAACGUCCACGUCAUUUCGUCUCUUCGUUUCGUAUUCAAAAAGAAUAAUAAUAAAAAAGACAGAUAAUGUCGCUAAUAUAUAUUUACUACAGCCAAGUAAAUAAACUCAUCAUAGAUAACAGGAUUAAAAUUCUAUAUUAAAGCCAGACGCGCGUUUCGUCUACAAAAAACUCAUCAGUGACGCUCGAAUCAAAAAAUGUUAAAAGGCCAAAUAAAGUACAAAGUUGAAGAGCAUUGAGGACCAAAAAUUUCUAAAGGUUUUGCCAAACACAGCUAAGGUAAUCUAUUCUUGGGGUAGAAAAGCCUUAUACAUUGUUAUUAACACAUUCCCUUUUCAACUAAACUGAUUUGACAUGAAACAACACACUCGUAAUUAAUUAAACAUUUUAGUCAUUUUUAGUUUAGUUAAUUAUUCCAUGAUUGUUUAACAACAAGACAAAGGCUGCUGAAAACAGGAGAGCUACUACAAUGUUGCGUUCAAAACUGCUGAUUUUGACAGGUUCUUGUGUUCUGUAGUUAAACCACUGACCCAAC